CCGUGGAGGGUCAUUGGAAACUGGAAAACUUGAGUGCAGAAGAGGAAAGUGGAAUUCCAUGUGUAGCGGUGAAAUGCGCAGAGAUAUGGAGGAACACCAGUGGCGAAGGCGACUUUCUGGUCUGUAACUGACGCUGAUGUGCGAAAGCGUGGGGAUCAAACAGGAUUAGAUACCCUGGUAGUCCACNCCGUAAACGAUGAGUGCUAAGUGUUAGGGGGUUUCCGCCCCUUAGUGCUGCAGCUAACGCAUUAAGCACUCCGCCUGGGGAGUACGACCGCAAGGUUGAAACUCAAAGGAAUUGACGGGGACCCGCNCAAGCGGUGGAGCAUGUGGUUUAAUUNGAAGCAACGCGAAGANCCUUACCAAAUCUUGACAUCCUUUGACCCUUNUAGAGAUAGAAGUUUCCCCUUCGGGGGACAAAGUGACAGGUGGUGCAUGGUUGUCGUCAGCUCGUGUCGUGAGAUGUUGGGUUAAGUCCCGCAACGAGCGCAACCCUUAAGCUUAGUUGCCAUCAUUAAGUUGGGCACUCUAAGUUGACUGCCGGUGACAAACCGGAGGAAGGUGGGGAUGACGUCAAAUCAUCAUGCCCCUUAUGAUUUGGGCUACACACGUGCUACAAUGGACAAUACAAAGGGCAGCGAAACCGCGAGGUCAAGCAAAUCCCAUAAAGUUGUUCUCAGUUCGGAUUGUAGUCUGCAACUCGACUACAUGAAGCUGGAAUCGCUAGUAAUCGUAGAUCAGCAUGCUACGGUGAAUACGUUCCCGGGUCUUGUACACACCGCCCGUCACACCACGAGAGUUUGUAACACCCGAAGCCGGUGGAGUAACCAUU
rnacentral:rRNA from 1 species